rnacentral:rRNA from 1 species
UACGUAAGUGGCGAGCGUUAUCCGGAAUUACUGGGCGUAAAGCGUGCGUAGGCGGUUUAGUGUGUGGGAAUUGAAAGCCCGGGGCUCAACUCCGGAUCCGGUUCCCAAACUGCUAGACUUGAGCGUAUCAGAGGACAGCGGAAUUCCCGGUGUAGCGGUAAUAUGCGUAGAGAUGCGGAGGAACACCGAUGGCGAAGGCAGCCCCCUGGGCUAACACUGACGCUCAGGCACGAAAGCGUGGGGAGCAAACAGG